rnacentral:rRNA from 1 species
AUUGAACGCUGGCGGCAGGCUUAACACAUGCAAGUCGAGCGGGGGAGGUUGCUUCGGUAACUGACCUAGCGGCGGACGGGUGAGUAAUACUUAGGAAUCUGCCUAUUAAUGGGGGACAACAUCUCGAAAGGGAUGCUAAUACCGCAUACGCCCUACGGGGGAAAGCAGGGGAUCACUUGUGACCUUACGUUAAUAGAUGAGCCUAAGUCGGAUUAGCUAGUUGGUGGGGUAAAGGCCUACCAAGGCGACGAUCUGUAGCGGGUCUGAGAGGAUGAUCCGCCACACUGGUACUGGGACACGGCCCAGACUCCGACGGGAGGCAUCAGUGGGGAAUAUUGGACAAUGGGGGGAACCCUGAUCCAGCCAUGACGCGUGUGUGAAGAAGGCCUUAUGGUUGUAAAGCACUUUAAGCGAGGAGGAGGCUCUUUUGGUUAAUACCCAAGAUGAGUGGACGUUACUCGCAGAAUAAGCACCGGCUAACUCUGUGCCAGCCGCCGCAGUAAUAC